rnacentral:rRNA from 1 species
AGUGAACGCUGGCGGUAGGCCUAACACAUGCAAGUCGAACGGCAGCACAGGAGAGCUUGCUCUCUGGGUGGCGAGUGGCGGACGGGUGAGGAAUACAUCGGAAUCUACUCUGUCGUGGGGGAUAACGUUGGGAGACUUACGCUAAUACCGCAUACGACCUACGGGCGAAAGCAGGGGACCUUCGGGCUUUGCUCGAUUGAAUGAGCCGAUGCCGGAUUAGCUAGUUGGCGGGGUAAAGGCACACCAAGGCGACGAUCCGUAGCUGGCCUGAGAGGAUGGUCAGCCACACAUGAACUGAGAGAUAGGCCAGACUGCUACGGGAGGCAGGAGUGGGGAAUAUUGGACAAAGGGCGCAAGCCUGACCCAGCCAUACCGCGUGGGUGAAGAAGGCCUUCGGGUUGUAAAGCCCUUUUGUUGGGAAAGAAAUCCAGCUGGCUAAUACCCGGUUGGGAUGACGGUACCCAAAGAAUAAGCACCGGCUAACUACGUGCCAGCAGCCGCAGUAA